rnacentral:rRNA from 1 species
AGUGGCGGACGGGUGAGGAACACGUGGGUGACCUACCCUGGGGUGAGGAAUACCGGCGAGAAAUCGCCGACAAUACCGCAUAGGUUUCGUAAGAAACAAAGUCUCGCAAGAGAUGCCACAGGAUGGGCCCGCGGCCGAUUAGCUCGUUGGUGGGGUAAUGGCCUACCAAGGCGUCGAUCGGUAGCUGGCCUGAGAGGACGAUCAGCCACACUGGGAUUGAGAACGGCCCAG